UACGUAGGUGGCAAGCGUUGUCCGGAGUUAUUGGGCGUAAAGCGCGCGCAGGCGGUGCGGUAAGUCUCUGGUGAAAGCGCUCGGCUUAACUGGGCGAGGGCCGGGGAGACUGCCACGCUGGAGGGGAGCAGAGGCGAGUGGAAUUCCGGGUGUAGUGGUGAAAUGCGUAGAGAUCCGGAGGAACACCGGUGGCGAAGGCGGGUCUCUGGGCCGAUACUGACGCUGAGGAGCGAAAGCGUGGGGAGCGAACAGG
rnacentral:rRNA from 1 species